UACGUAGGGUGCAGGCGUUAAUCGGAAUGACUGGGCGUAAAGGGCGCGUAGGCGGUUUGUCGCGUCUGCUGUGAAAACCCGAGGCUCAACCUCGGGCCUGCAGUGGGUACGGGGCAGACUAGAGUGCGGUAGGGGAGAUUGGAAUUCCUGGUGUAGCGGUGGAAUGCGCAGAUAUCAGGAGGAACACCGAUGGCGAAGGCAGAUCUCUGGGCCGUAACUGACGCUGAGGAGCGAAAAGCGUGGGGGAGCGAACAGG
rnacentral:rRNA from 1 species